rnacentral:rRNA from 1 species
UACGAAGGGGGCUAGCGUUGUUCGGAAUUACUGGGCGUAAAGCGCGCGCAGGCGGUUCUUCAAGUCAGUGGUGAAAGCCCGGAGCUCAACUCCGGAACUGCCAUUGAAACUGUGGAACUUGAGGAUGAGAGAGGUGAGUGGAAUUCCCAGUGUAGAGGUGAAAUUCGUAGAUAUUGGGAAGAACACCGGUGGCGAAGGCGGCUCACUGGCUCAUUUCUGACGCUCAGGCGCGACAGCGUGGGGGAUCAAACAGG